CCCGCUGAACUUAAGCAUAUCAAUAAGCGGAGGAAAAGAAACUAACAAGGAUUCCCCUAGUAACUGCGAGUGAAGCGGGAAAAGCUCAAAUUUAAAAUCUGUCAGUCUUUGGCUGUCCGAGUUGUAAUCUAGAGAAGUGUUAUCCGCGCUGGACCGUGUACAAGUCUCCUGGAAUGGAGCGUCAUAGAGGGUGAGAAUCCCGUCUUUGACACGGACUGCCAGGGCUUUUGUGAUGCGCUCUCAAAGAGUCGAGUUGUUUGGGAAUGCAGCUCAAAAUGGGUGGUAAAUUCCAUCUAAAGCUAAAUAUUGGCGAGAGACCGAUAGCGAACAAGUACCGUGAGGGAAAGAUGAAAAGAACUUUGGAAAGAGAGUUAAACAGUACGUGAAAUUGUUGAAAGGGAAACGCUUGAAGUCAGUCAUGUCUCACUGAAAUCAACCUGGCACUUGUCUGGUGUACUUUCUGUGGGACAGGUCAGCAUCAGUUCUGAUUGCUGGAAAAAGGCCUUGGGAAUGUGACAUCUUUUCGAAGAUGUGCUAUAGCCCUCGGACCACAUGCAGUGAUUGGGACUGAGGAACUCGAUGUGUGAAAUAACACAUUCAAGGAUGCUGGCAUAAUGGCUUUAAUCGACCCGUCUUGAAACACGG
rnacentral:rRNA from 1 species